rnacentral:rRNA from 1 species
AGUUUUAAGGAAUUAUUUAAAAUUAUACCUGCUCAAUGAGUAUAUUAAAUUGCUGCGGUACCUUGACCGUACUAAGGUAGCAUAAUCAAUUGGCUUUUAAUUGAAGUCUGGAAUGAAUGGUUUUUUGGAAAUAUAUUGUCUCUGUUUAAUUUAUUUAAAUUUUCUUUUUAAGUGAAAAAGCUUAAUACUAGAUAAAAGACGAGAAGACCCUUAGAAUUUACAUGUUUUAGUUGGGGCAACUUUGAAUAAAUAUUCAUAAUUUUUUAAAAAUAUAACAAAUUUUAUUUUUUUUAAAAAAAUUACCUAAGGGAUAACAGCAUAAUUUUUAUUAAAGUUUAUGACCUCGAUGUUGGACUAGGAAGCUUAAUAGUUAGUCAUUAUUAAGUUUUGUUCUGUUCGAACAAUAAUAUCCU